AGUCGAGGGGUAUGCUUCUUCGGGAGCAGAGACCGGCGCACGGGUGCGUAACGCGUAUGCAAUCUACCUUUUACAGAGGGAUAGCCCAGAGAAAUUUGGAUUAAUACCUCAUAGUAUAAUAGCUCGGCAUCGAGCAAUUAUUAAAGUCACAACGGUAAAAGAUGAGCAUGCGUCCCAUUAGCUAGUUGGUAAGGUAACGGCUUACCAAGGCUACGAUGGGUAGGGGUCCUGAGAGGGAGAUCCCCCACACUGGUACUGAGACACGGACCAGACUCCUACGGGAGGCAGCAGUGAGGAAUAUUGGACAAUGGGCGCAAGCCUGAUCCAGCCAUGCCGCGUGCAGGAUGACGGUCCUAUGGAUUGUAAACUGCUUUUGUACAGGAAGAAACAGUUCUACGUGUAGAACCUUGACGGUACUGUAAGAAUAAGGAUCGGCUAACUCCGUGCCAGCAGCCGCGGUAAUACGGAGGAUCCAAGCGUUAUCCGGAAUCAUUGGGUUUAAAGGGUCCGUAGGCGGUUUAAUAAGUCAGUGGUGAAAGCCCAUCGCUCAACGGUGGAACGGCCAUUGAUACUGUUAAACUUGAAUUAUUAGGAAGUAACUAGAAUAUGUAGUGUAGCGGUGAAAUGCUUAGAGAUUACAUGGAAUACCAAUUGCGAAGGCAGGUUACUACUAAUGGAUUGACGCUGAUGGACGAAAGCGUGGGUAGCGAACAGGAUUAGAUACCCUGGUAGUCCACGCCGUAAACGAUGGAUACUAGCUGUUGGGAGCAAUUUCAGUGGCUAAGCGAAAGUGAUAAGUAUCCCACCUGGGGAGUACGUUCGCAAGAAUGAAACUCAAAGGAAUUGACGGGGGCCCGCACAAGCGGUGGAGCAUGUGGUUUAAUUCGAUGAUACGCGAGGAACCUUACCAAGGCUUAAAUGUAGAUUGACCGGUUUGGAAACA
rnacentral:rRNA from 1 species